UACGAAAGGGGCUAGCGUUGUUCGGAAUUACUGGGCGUAAAGCGCACGUAGGCGGCCUUGUAAGUUGGGGGUGAAAUCCCGGGGCUCAACCCCGGAACUGCCUUCAAGACUGCAAAGCUAGAGGACGGGAGAGGUGAUCGGAAUUCCGAGUGUAGAGGUGAAAUUCGUAGAUAUUCGGAAGGACACCAGUGGCGAAGGCGGCUAACUGGCCCGGUACUGACGCUGAGGUGCGAAAGCGUGCGGAGCAAACAGG
rnacentral:rRNA from 1 species